rnacentral:lncRNA from 1 species
UCCGCACAUCUAGCUCAUCCAUUAACUGUUCCACAGGUGUUGCUUCUCGCAGGAUCAUCAUAUGGCACUCUUUUGUGAGCUGCUGGAUUCUCUGGAGCUUGCCAACUCCAUGCAGGGUUGAAAACUUCACCAUUAGAUGAUAGGUUGACGCUAUGGCUCGAAGUGUAACCGACCUAGAAUAACAUUGUACAUGGACGAGCUUUUUACCAUGAAGUAAUUUAUUAGCAUAGCCACCUGUUUUGGAGUUCGUC